rnacentral:hammerhead_ribozyme from 1 species
AUUCAGCAGACGAGUUCCAGAUAGGAUGAAACACGUGUCCUAUAU